rnacentral:rRNA from 1 species
AAUAGAUACCCGGGUAGCCCACGCCGUAAACGUUGGGCGCUAGGUGUGGGGAACCUUCCACGUUCUCCGUGCCGUAGCUAACGCAUUAAGCGCCCCGCCUGGGGAGUACGGCCGCAAGGCUAAAACUCAAAGGAAUUGACGGGGGCCCGCACAAGCGGCGGAGCAUGCGGCUUAAUUCGAUGCAACGCGAAGAACCUUACCUAGGCUUGACAUAUACCGAAAACUCACAGAGAUGUGGGGUCCGCAAGGGCGGUAUACAGGUGGUGCAUGGUUGUCGUCAGCUCGUGUCGUGAGAUGUUGGGUUAAGUCCCGCAACGAGCGCAACCCUCGUCCUAUGUUACCAGCGCGUUAUGGCGGGGACUCAUAGGAGACUGCCGGGGUCAACUCGGAGGAAGGUGGGGUGAGGUCAAAUCAUCAUGCCCCUUAUGUCUAGGGCUGCACGCAUGCUACAAUGGUCGGUACAAAGGGCUGCGAUACCGCAAGGUGAGCGAAUCCCAAAAGCCGGCCUCAGUUCGGAUUGGGGUCUGCAACUCGACCCCA